GGAAGUCAGAGACCAGCAAUUCUAAGUUUAGUAACUCAGAAGGGGAGAAGACCUUCAUUACUGUGUCUUGCUCUGUCGCCCAGACUGGGGUGCAAUGGCGCAAUCUCUGCUCACUGCAGCCUCCGCCUCCCAGGUUCAAGCGAUUCUCCUGCCUCAGGCUCCCGAAUAG